UGCUUCUUUUCUCCCAUCUUCCGCCGCCUCCUCACUCACUGACUUAAACAGACCCAACUUACUUUCUCACUCUCAAGUUCUAAACUCUUUUGUUCUCCCUAGAUCUUCUCACCAACCAAACAACAGGCUACCUUCAUCUUCUCUUUAGAUAUUCUCUCCAACUAAAGUUGGGACAAGGGGGUCAUGUGGCACCUGCAAACCAGAAACCACAGCUUGGGGAGAAGAAUUUUGACCCCUGAAAUGAGACAGAGGGAGAGAUGGAGAGAGGAAGAAGAAGAAAGAAAAAAAAUUGAAAAAGAGAGAGAUAGAGGGAUUGAUGUAGACAUGGGAAGUUUUGUCAGACUUUGAUAUAUGCUGUUGGUAAACAUGAAGAUAGUUUUUUGUU